rnacentral:tRNA from 2 species
GGCUCUGUAGCUCAACUGAAUAGAGCAUCUGACUACGGAUCAGAAGGUUUCAGGUUUGAAUCCUGACAGAGUCACAA